GCGGAGGGUGCAACAGACUGAUAGUGACGUCUGUAACUGCCUGGUAGUGGGCCGUUCGGGGCCAGGAGGAGUUUGUUAUGAAGAGUGAUGGAGUGGACUCGUGGCUAUCACCGUGGCCUACCAUGUGGAGCCUGUGGCGAGGAGUAGAGCAGUAUCCGUUGUCGUGACUUGCUAGGAAGUGGUGGAGCUGCGCUGAAUCCAUCGCAGGAAGUGGAGCAGAAUCGUGGUCAUUACUGUGGCCUGCCGCGUGGAGCCUGUUGCGGUGAGUGGUGGAGCCGCACAGAAUCCGUCGCAGGAGAUGGAGCAGAGUCGUGGCCAUUACUGUGGCCUGUCAGGGAGUCCAGGCCUAUCGACCGAAGCUCGAUUGAAGCAUCUGGCAGAGAGAGGUAGCUAUCCAUCUGAGAGGAGCUCGGAUGUUGCUGGCGAGCCUUCUACCGUUGGGUGCCUUGGGCGUCAACACGACAGGCGAGGGCCAUUCGCUGUAGGAGCUCGGUCAGAGGUUUUCCGCAGAUGAAGUUCAGUUUCACGCAGAAUUCGGCAGAGGGUCGAUUGGUCAGUGGGUGUCGGAUGGCGCUGGAGAGGUUCAUCCGCUGGAGGAGUCCGGCUGCUGGAAUCCG
rnacentral:lncRNA from 1 species